GACGAACGCUGGCGGCGUGCCUAAUACAUGCAAGUAGAACGCACAGUUUAUACCGUAGCUUGCUACACCAUAGACUGUGAGUUGCGAACGGGUGAGUAACGCGUAGGUAACCUGCCUGGUAGCGGGGGAUAACUAUUGGAAACGAUAGCUAAUACCGCAUAAUAUUAAUUAUUGCAUGAUAAUUAAUUGAAAGGUGCAAUUGCACCACUACCAGAUGGACCUGCGUUGUAUUAGCUAGUAGGUGAGGUAACGGCUCACCUAGGCGACGAUACAUAGCCGACCUGAGAGGGUGAUCGGCCACACUGGGACUGAGACACGGCCCAGACUCCUACGGGAGGCAGCAGUAGGGAAUCUUCGGCAAUAGACGAAAGUCUGACCGAGCAACGCCGCGUGAGUGAAGAAGGUUUUCGUAUCGUAAAGCUCUGUUGUAAGAGAAGAACGGGUGUGAGAGUGGAAAGUUCACACUGUGACGGUAUCUUACCAGAAAGGGACGGCUAACUACGUG
rnacentral:rRNA from 1 species